rnacentral:rRNA from 1 species
UACACUCCUACGGGAGGCAGCAGUGGGGAAUAUUGGACAAUGGGCGCAAGCCUGAUCCAGCCAUGCCGAGUGAGUGAUGAAGGCCCUAGGGUUGUAAAGCUCUUUCACCGGUGAAGAUAAUGACGGUAACCGGAGAAGAAGCCCCGGCUAACUUCGUGCCAGCAGCCGCGGUAAUACGAAGGGGGCUAGCGUUGUUCGGAUUUACUGGGCGUAAAGCGCACGUAGGCGGACUAUUAAGUCAGGGGUGAAAUCCCGGGGCUCAACCCCGGAACUGCCUUUGAUACUGGUAGUCUUGAGUUCGAGAGAGGUGAGUGGAAUUCCGAGUGUAGAGGUGAAAUUCGUAGAUAUUCGGAGGAACACCAGUGGCGAAGGCGGCUCACUGGCUCGAUACUGACGCUGAGGUGCGAAAGCGUGGGGAGCAAACAGGAUUAGAAACCCUAGUAGUCCCAUGA